GACGAACGCUGGCGGCGUGCUUAACACAUGCAAGUCGAACGGAAAGGCCCUGCUUUUGUGGGGUUCUCGAGUGGCGAACGGGUGAGUAACACGUGAGUAACCUGCCCUUGUCUGUGUGAUAACUUCAGGAAACUGGGGCUAAUACCGGAUAGGAGCUCCUGCUGCAUGGUGGUGGUUGGAAAGUUUCGGCUGUUGGGGAUGGACUCGCGGCUUAUCAGCUUGUUGGUGGGGUAGUGGCUUACCAAGGCUUUGACGGGUAGCCGGCCUGAGAGCGUGACCGGCCACAUUGGGACUGAGAUACGGACCAGAAUCCUACGGGAGGCAGCAGUGGGGAAUAUUGCACAAUGGGCGGAAGCCUGAUGCAGAAACGCCGCGUGCGGGAUGACGGCCUUCGGGUUGUAAACCGAUUUCGACUGUGACGAAGCGUGAGUGACGGUAAUGGGUAAAGAAGCACCGGCUAACUACGUG
rnacentral:rRNA from 1 species